UAGGGAAUCUUCGGCAAUGGACGAAAGUCUGACCGAGCAACGCCGCGUGAGUGAAGAAGGUUUUCGGAUCGUAAAACUCUGUUGUUAGAGAAGAACAAGGACGUUAGUAACUGAACGUCCCCUGACGGUAUCUAACCAGAAAGCCACGGCUAACUACGUGCCAGCAGCCGCGGUAAUACGUAGGUGGCAAGCGUUGUCCGGAUUUAUUGGGCGUAAAGCGAGCGCAGGCGGUUUCUUAAGUCUGAUGUGAAAGCCCCCGGCUCAACCGGGGAGGGUCAUUUGAAACUGGGAUGCUUGAGUGCAGAAGAGUAGAGUAGAAUUCCAUGUGUAUCAGUGAAAUGCGUAGAUAUAUGGAGGAACACCUGUGGCGAAGGCGGCUCUCCGGUCUGUAACUGACGCUGAGGCUCGAAAGCGUGGGGAGCAAACAGU
rnacentral:rRNA from 1 species